UACGGAGGGUGCAAGCGUUAUCCGGAUUCACUGGGUUUAAAGGGUGCGUAGGCGGGCAGGUAAGUCAGUGGUGAAAUCUCCGAGCUUAACUCGGAAACUGCCGUUGAUACUAUUUGUCUUGAAUAUUGUGGAGGUAAGCGGAAUAUGUCAUGUAGCGGUGAAAUGCUUAGAUAUGACAUAGAACACCAAUUGCGAAGGCAGCUUACUAAAGUAUGAUUGACGCUGAGGCACGAAAGCGUGGGGAUCAAACAGG
rnacentral:rRNA from 1 species